AUUGAACGCUGGCGGCAGGCCUAACACAUGCAAGUCGAACGGUAACAGGAAACAGCUUGCUGUUUCGCUGACGAGUGGCGGACGGGUGAGUAAUGUCUGGGAAACUGCCUGAUGGAGGGGGAUAACUACUGGAAACGGUAGCUAAUACCGCAUAACGUCGCAAGACCAAAGAGGGGGACCUUCGGGCCUCUUGCCAUCGGAUGUGCCCAGAUGGGAUUAGCUAGUAGGUGGGGUAACGGCUCACCUAGGUGACGAUCCCUAGCUGGUCUGAGAGGAUGACCAGCCACACUGGAACUGAGACACGGUCCAGACUCCUACGGGAGGCAGCAGUGGGGAAUAUUGCACAAUGGGCGCAAGCCUGAUGCAGCCAUGCCGCGUGUAUGAAGAAGGCCUUCGGGUUGUAAAGUACUUUCAGCGGGGAGGAAGGGAGUAAAGUUAAUACCUUUACUCAUUGACGUUACCCGCAGAAGAAGCACCGGCUAACUCCGUG
rnacentral:rRNA from 1 species